rnacentral:rRNA from 1 species
AGGGUUCGAUCAUGGCUCAGGAUGAACGCUAGCGGCAGACUUAACACAUGCAAGUCGAGGGGUAACAGGAGUGCUUGCACUCGCUGACGACCGGCGCACGGGUGCGUAACGCGUAUAGAACCUACCUUUUACUGAGGGAUAGCCUUUAGAAAUGAAGAUUAAUACCUCAUGGUAUUGCAAUUUGGCAUCAGAUUGUAAUUAAAGAUUUAUUGGUAAAAGAUGGCUAUGCGUCUUAUUAGCUAGAUGGUAAGGUAACGGCUUACCAUGGCAACGAUAAGUAGGGGCCCUGAGAGGGGGAUCCCCCACACUGGUACUGAGACACGGACCAGACUCCUACGGGAGGCAGCAGUGAGGAAUAUUGGGCAAUGGAGGCAACUCUGACCCAGCCAUGCCGCGUGCAGGAAGACUGCCCUAUGGGUUGUAAACUGCUUUUAUACAGGAAGAAACACACCUACGUGUAGGUGCUUGACGGUACUGUAAGAAUAAGCACCGGCUAACUCCGUGCCAGCAGCCGCGGUAAUAC